rnacentral:rRNA from 1 species
UGAAACACGGACCAAGGAGUCUAGCGUAUACGCGAGUCAUUGGGUGGAAAACCCAUAGGCGUAAUGAAAGUGAAGGUCUCUUUCUGAGGCUGAUAUGCGAUCCGUUGCACUACGGUGUAUGCGGAGCAGCAUAGCCCCAUCUCGACUGCUUGCAGUGGGGUGGAGGUAGAGCGUAUUCGCUGGUACCCGAAAGAUGGUGAACUAUGCCUGAGCAGGAUGAAGCCAGAGGAAACUCUGGUGGAGGUCCGAAGCGCUUCUGACGUGCAAAUCGAUCGUCUGACUUGGGUAUAGGGGCGAAAGACUAAUCGAACCAUCUAGUAGCUGGUUCCCUCCGAAGUUUCCCCCAGGAUAGCUGGAGCCUGAUAAAUUAGUUAUACUCGGUAAAGCGAACGAUUAGAGGACUUGGGGUCAAAAGACCUUAACCUAUUCUCAAACUCUCAAUGGGUAUGAAGUAUUAGUUGCUUGAUUGAACUAGUACGUUGAAUAUAGGCUCCAAGUGGGCCAUUUUUGGUAAGCA